ensembl:processed_transcript 2500004C02Rik RIKEN cDNA 2500004C02 gene
UUUUUUUUUUUUUUUGAACAAAAACAAACCGAAAGGGUGGCUGGGAUUUGUAGUCCUCACUGGCUUCCUGGCCUACCCCUCUCCGGAAGAAAAUGGCUGCCUCAAGUGCUUGGACCACAUUUCCCGGAGUGCCCCGGGCUCCUGUUUUCCGCCCACUUUCUUCCGUACCCCGCUGCGCUCCAAGCACGGUGACCUUUGAAAGUUAACAGGGGUGCCAUGGGCUGAGUAAGAUAAACGGAACUGCUGUUCAACCCCGCCCAGUCUGGGGAUGAGUCAUUGUUUUCAAAUUUAUGAACAAAGCACACAAAUUAAGAAUAAUACAAGCAAGAAACAGCAGAGAGACACAAAAGGACAUAGAAUCCCUGAUCCUCACUGUGAUCUGGUAACACUAGUUCUAGGGCUGGAGAGAGAGAUGCUCAGGGCAAGUGCUCUUACAGAGAACAUGAGUUCAAUUCCCAGAACCCACAUGGUACCUCACAACUGCCUAUUUCAUACAUGUGGGGCAGAACACCGAUACACAUACUUUUUUUUUUAAGAAUUGAAAAAAAAAAAAAAUUGGUUCUGGACUCCAGUGGGUCUGAGUUUGAAACCGUAGCUGUUCUCCAGUUGUGUGGCCUUGAAUAAGUUAUGCAACUUCAUCAACCAAGCACUGUCAUUGGACAGCAGAGAAUAUGACAAAAGUCAACGGGCGAUCUGAACAAGUGGCACAUGCUUGCAUACUUGGAUGACACAGUUCGAGAAGCACUUGAACCCUGAAGUUUACAAACAGCCUCGAUAACACAGGAAGACCCCAUCUCAGAAGAAUAGAUGAGAUCACUAUUUCUCAGCUUCAGCAUUGCAGAUGAUCAGCUAAUGUGGAACUCUCCAGCCCCUUUGCACAUUGCAUUUCUUUGCAUGGCUUUUGGUUGGUAACUAUACAUUUGGCAUCUGUUUGGAUUUUUUUUCUGUAUACCCCAAAUGCCAGCCAUAGUCUUGGGCAUAUAGUAGGCAGUCAAACUGUUGGUGUAUGAACCAUUCUCAGUAAUUCUUUUGUUGUAGACAGUCUCUGAGGAAUUAUCCCCUAUUGAAUGGUCUCAUAACAGUUUUGGAAAGCGCUCAUGUAGGGAAAAAACUAAGAUAAGAUUUUACCCAGGAAGGUCUCCACAAGUGCAAAGUAGAGACUUCAGGACAUUCCCAGUCUCGUUGUGUUGCCAAAUCUACCCUCACAAUGCAUGACUUAACUCAUAAAUCCUGGGCCAGUCACAGUUUUUUAAAUUCUACUCUUUAGUCUCCCAUGCUCUGGAGAAGGUAUUUAAAUUGCCAAAAUGUUUAACAAUAGUUCUCUAGGUUUUAUAAGACUAGUUAGUUUACUGGUAAUUUUUCUGUACAAAAAAAUUGCAUUGGGCUGGUGAGAUGGCUCAGUGGGUAAGAGCACCCAACUGCUCUUCUGAAGGUCUGAAGUUCAAAUCCCAGCAACCACAUGGUGGCUCACAACCAUCCAUAAUGAGAUCUAACUCCCUCUUCUGGAGUGUCUGAAGACAACUACAGUGUACUUACAUAUAAUAAAAAUAAAUAAAUCUUUAAAAAAAAUACUUGCUAAAAAAUUGCAUUAUUUUAACUUUAAAAGUUUUUACUUCAAAAACAAUAAAACAUUUAAAGUGGCAGUUAUAAUAGUGAUAUAGUAAAUAUAUUUUUUCUGUCACAUCUUCCAAAUCUAGAAUGUGUGCUCCAUUAUGAUGUAAAAGUAAAGUUUCAUUAAUAUCAGCCAAUAGUGGAAGAACAUCUUUAAUAAUAGAUUCAUCUUCCCACUUUGGUGGACCUGUAGAGUGGCCUCAAAGGGAGACUUAAGCUGGUUUUUAUCAAAAUUUUGGGACAUGACAUUUCCUGACAGAAUAAAGUUUUCUGGUAGAAAUUUCC